CUCUGAAACAAAGCCAGUCUGCUUUUAUUUAAGUGUUUAUGUCAGAUGCUCUGUCACAACAAUGACAAGUGUCACAGCCUCCCGAUGACCUACUUAGAACUCCAAGAAAGGUGUUAGAAGAUGUGCCGGCCUGCAUCCGGUUGGCCCACUUCCUCUUGGUCCAUCCGGAGGUGAACGAAUGGUGAGGAUGUUUGCUGUGCACAGAGAUCGCACUCAGCACGGGGAAGCAACCCCCUCUCUGCCCUUCCGUGACGUCUGGCUCAACAGAAGACAGUGGGACGCUCCCCUCUGCUUCUGUAGGUAACUUGUUGAAAUGUUUUGGUAGAAAAACCCCGGCAGCAGCUGCAACAGGAGAGGCGUCUUGGCAGCCUCGUCGGUAACGGCCUAGGGUCUUCCUCGAUCCAGCCCUGAAACUCUUUCCUAAAAGCUGGUAGAGUGCAGCUUCUGAAACCACCCGAUGAAUCUUCUUACAGUCGCUCCCAAUGCCUUGAUCUGCCUCACGGUUUGAUCUUUGAUCGCGCUGCUUAACCGGUGCCUUUAUGAUGCGACAGGAAAUAAAGGCUCCCCCAGUCCAGAACUUCCCAAAGGCGACCUCCUCACGCGGCCCCAGAACUUGCUGUAGUAUCAUCUCAAGGUAUCGGGGAGCUGUAGAGCCCGCCUUGUUUCACCAUGAGCCACCUGUUCUUGGACAGCUGUCUACAAGUGCGAUCACUGUGUCGGAAACUGAACACACACGGUUACGUUAGGUAUUGACAAAGUCUGCUUCACAAGUGAUGUUCCAGUUUGCAUUUCUAUCAGCAGUGGCGGGGGGGGGUUCCAGUGUCCCCACAGGCUUGGCAACAGAGUGUGUCACGGAAGAGAGACAUGUAAAUUAACCCUGUGGUAGACACGGGCGAUCUCCACAGCCAGCAGCAGCCUUUGCUCGGGACUUCCUCCUGCAAUAAAAGAUUUUGGGUCAAUGGAACUGGAACUGGACCCCAGCCAAAGAUGGAACGGAGCCCUUAUCCGGGCGGCGCUGAGGACCUGGGCUGUCUCUUUUAGGAAACUCAAAGGUGGGACUUGCUUAAUCAGACCUGGCUGUAUACCAACCAAAAUAGAU